GCGUACCUUUUGUAUAAUGGGUCAGCGACUUAUAUUCUGUAGCAAGGUUAACCGAAUAGGGGAGCCGAAGGGAAACCGAGUCUUAACUGGGCGUUAAGUUGCAGGGUAUAGACCCGAAACCCGGUGAUCUAGCCAUGGGCAGGUUGAAGGUUGGGUAACACUAACUGGAGGACCGAACCGACUAAUGUUGAAAAAUUAGCGGAUGACUUGUGGCUGGGGGUGAAAGGCCAAUCAAACCGGGAGAUAGCUGGUUCUCCCCGAAAGCUAUUUAGGUAGCGCCUCGUGAAUUCAUCUCCGGGGGUAGAGCACUGUUUCGGCAAGGGGGUCAUCCCGACUUACCAACCCGAUGCAAACUGCGAAUACCGGAGAAUGUUAUCACGGGAGACACACGGCGGGUGCUAACGUCCGUCGUGAAGAGGGAAACAACCCAGACCGCCAGCUAAGGUCCCAAAGUCAUGGUUAAGUGGGAAACGAUGUGGGAAGGCCCAGACAGCCAGGAUGUUGGCUUAGAAGCAGCCAUCAUUUAAAGAAAGCGUAAUAGCUCACUGGUCGAGUCGGCCUGCGCGGAAGAUGUAACGGGGCUAAACCAUGCACCGAAGCUGCGGCAGCGACGCUUAUGCGUUGUUGGGUAGGGGAGCGUUCUGUAAGCCUGUGAAGGUGUGCUGUGAGGCAUGCUGGAGGUAUCAGAAGUGCGAAUGCUGACAUAAGUAACGAUAAAGCGGGUGAAAAGCCCGCUCGCCGGAAGACCAAGGGUUCCUGUCCAACGUUAAUCGGGGCAGGGUGAGUCGACCCCUAAGGCGAGGCCGAAAGGCGUAGUCGAUGGGAAACAGGUUAAUAUUCCUGUACUUGGUGUUACUGCGAAGGGGGGACGGAGAAGGCUAUGUUGGCCGGGCGACGGUUGUCCCGGUUUAAGCGUGUAGGCUGGUUUUCCAGGCAAAUCCGGAAAAUCAAGGCUGAGGCGUGAUGACGAGGCACUACGGUGCUGAAGCAACAAAUGCCCUGCUUCCAGGAAAAGCCUCUAAGCAUCAGGUAACAUCAAAUCGUACCCCAAACCGACACAGGUGGUCAGGUAGAGAAUACCAAGGCGCUUGAGAGAACUCGGGUGAAGGAACUAGGCAAAAUGGUGCCGUAACUUCGGGAGAAGGCACGCUGAUAUGUAGGUGAAGCGACUUGCUCGUGGAGCUGAAAUCAGUCGAAGAUACCAGCUGGCUGCAACUGUUUAUUAAAAACACAGCACUGUGCAAACACGAAAGUGGACGUAUACGGUGUGACGCCUGCCCGGUGCCGGAAGGUUAAUUGAUGGGGUCAGCGCAAGCGAAGCUCUUGAUCGAAGCCCCGGUAAACGGCGGCCGUAACUAUAACGGUCCUAAGGUAGCGAAAUUCCUUGUCGGGUAAGUUCCGACCUGCACGAAUGGCGUAAUGAUGGCCAGGCUGUCUCCACCCGAGACUCAGUGAAAUUGAACUCGCUGUGAAGAUGCAGUGUACCCGCGGCAAGACGGAAAGACCCCGUGAACCUUUACUAUAGCUUGACACUGAACAUUGAGCCUUGAUGUGUAGGAUAGGUGGGAGGCUUUGAAGUGUGGACGCCAGUCUGCAUGGAGCCGACCUUGAAAUACCACCCUUUAAUGUUUGAUGUUCUAACGUUGGCCCCUAAUCGGGGUUGCGGACAGUGUCUGGUGGGUAGUUUGACUGGGGCGGUCUCCUCCUAAAGAGUAACGGAGGAGCACGAAGGUUGGCUAAUCCUGGUCGGACAUCAGGAGGUUAGUGCAAUGGCAUAAGCCAGCUUGACUGCGAGCGUGACGGCGCGAGCAGGUGCGAAAGCAGGUCAUAGUGAUCCGGUGGUUCUGAAUGGAAGGGCCAUCGCUCAACGGAUAAAAGGUACUCCGGGGAUAACAGGCUGAUACCGCCCAAGAGUUCAUAUCGACGGCGGUGUUUGGCACCUCGAUGUCGGCUCAUCACAUCCUGGGGCUGAAGUAGGUCCCAAGGGUAUGGCUGUUCGCCAUUUAAAGUGGUACGCGAGCUGGGUUUAGAACGUCGUGAGACAGUUCGGUCCCUAUCUGCCGUGGGCGCUGGAGAACUGAGGGGGGCUGCUCCUAGUACGAGAGGACCGGAGUGGACGCAUCACUGGUGUUCGGGUUGUCAUGCCAAUGGCACUGCCCGGUAGCUAAAUGCGGAAGAGAUAAGUGCUGAAAGCAUCUAAGCACGAAACUUGCCCCGAGAUGAGUUCUCCCUGACCCUUUAAGGGUCCUGAAGGAACGUUGAAGACGACGACGUUGAUAGGCCGGGUGUGUAAGCGCAGCGAUGCGUUGAGCUAACCGGUACUAAUGAACCGUGAGG
rnacentral:rRNA from 1 species